CAAAUUGAUAUCAAAAUUAUAACUUCUGUUAGCUGUGGGACCCUUAAAAUAUCAUAAACAUUUAUCUUUUUUCUUUUUAGUUUUUAAAAAAAAAAAAACUUAAUUAAAUUAAAUAAUAGAAUUGAAGAACAAAUCCAACCCACACUAUCGUACUAUUAACAAAGAAGAGCGAUGAGGACGGCAGGCGACAAGGCGACGAGUGGCGAUAUACGACAGCGAUAGUGUUAGGCGAUGAGGAUGACAAGCGACGAGGCGAUGAACGGCAAGCAAUGAGGACAACAGUUGGCGUCAUGAGAGGGUGGUAUAUGGAGACAAGGUUCCAUUGAUUUGCCCGGAUGACAAGCUGCAUCAGAGUCUUUCCAAUUCUCAGGUCUGUAUAGAAUCCAAGGUCUCAAAUCUCCAAGGCCUUGAGCCACAUAGCCAAAGGUUGACCCCGAGCUAGUCACCAACACAUUACUCAAACUUAACAGAUUCAUUUCAACCCAUGCCUUCACAUUGUGCAUAUUAUCCCCAAAGUGUUGAUACUCUUCAUGGCUUGGCUGGUAAACCCCAAUUACUUCUCCUUUCCUAGUUGGAAAUGUCCAAUACAUGUUUGUCAUGUUCUCGUAGAAUUGUGGAUAUAAAGAUGCUAUUAGAACAGACUUUGAUGUUUGGUUUUUCGAUGGAGAAGCUACCAAUCGUUGUUUAUCUACUUCUGGCAGUAAAUUUUCCUGAAGAGUACAAGCUAAAAUCUGAUCCAUCACUCUUUGAAAUGGUUUAGCAUUGGGAUUAAAUACCCUUAUUUGCAUAGCAAUUCUUUCGUCUGACUUCGCUAAAUAAGACUGAUAAAACCUAGUGAUAAGUCCCCAAGCCUUAUUUGAAGGGUGGAAAAGAUAUCUGCCCAAGUGGUGGAAAACAGAUUCUUUGUCAGGAAACAUCUUGUCUAGCUCUUGUUGGAAAGAUGGCAUCAGGAAGAAAGAUGGAAUGAAAUAUUCAUCCGAUCUCAAGACCAACCAAGGAGCUUUCUGAAGAAGAGCAUGGUGUUCUUCACAGUAAAAAAGCAUAUCAAAAUUAGUAAGGCCGUAAGCCAGAAAAAUAUAUAAAUGUGAAGGUAGCAACUCGCUUGAUGCAUUAAAGACAUUGUUCUUCAGCGUAUUUCCAAGAGUAUCUGCGUUCCAUUGAUUGAAUUUUCUGAAUUGUUUGGGAAAGUUCGGAGGCAAUAACCAUGAUGUAUUGGGAAAUGGCUCACAAAAGAGAUCAGUCAUGUCCGCAUUAAAUUCAACAAGCAAAACUCUAUCAGUAAGGAGAGCGUAGAGAAAUGCUGAAGCAAUUGUUAAUAUUCUGUUCCCCAAGCCUGCUUGAGCUGUCCAGACUAUGUAAUUGCACUCUGUAGUACUAGAAAUGUUCCUCGAAUCAAGUACUAAAAGUGUUCUUUUAUAGGAUUCUGUGUCAGGUCCACAACGCUUGUGAAGAUUUUCAUAAUUACGGAGUUUAGAUAUGAGAUACGGAGAAGGCUUUUUCGAAGAAGGUUUUCGGUAUAAGACAGCUUCAGAUCUGCUUAGACAAGAAUCUUUAUCAAAUUCUGAAGCCAGUAGACCACCAAGUAGUACAUCAUCAGAAAUGCUAGCAGGUUCAUGUUCUGAACCUGUGAAAUAAAAAGAGAGAAAGAAAAUGAAUAAUCAAGCAUGAUUAUAAGAGGCAAAGCCAUCAAACAAGCAGCGAAGGAAAUGGUCCUCAUCGUACUCGAUCCCAGUAGUUUCCUCAUAGAAUUGGCUUCCAUUUUCAGAUAUGUGAACUCCAAUGACAAUGUCAACCUGAAAACAUUCAAACUUCAUGCAAAUUUUCGACCUUCUGAUGA